UAGGCGUCGCCAUUUCGUCCCACAGACAUUGUUUGGCAAGGCACGCUGUCUGGCUCCGUUCAUCUACCCCCGCAUGAUUUGUGCUGGUCUCUACGUCUAGGAGAGGAAGUUUGCUGCUAUCAAUAAAACCAGGUGGUGCCAAAUGUAAUAUCCAAUAGCAAUUCAAUAAUGAGUUUUUCAACCAAUAAAAUUUAAGUAUUGUUUUUACGAGUUUUAAAGUAACCUCAGAUGGUAAAUGCAGGCCUGCCACCAUGGGCGACCGUUGUCCACGGCCUGGCAAAAUUUAGCUUUAAAGGAGGGUUCUGCUGUGAUGCGCAUUCCGGACUAGCUGGGCCCUCCUUAAGAGUUUGGACAUCGCUACAGCUGAAGACCCGAAGCUCAAAUGUAGCUGAGGUGUUAAGAAUUGAAGCUCCAGUCGAAGACCCGAAGCUGAAGACCCAAAGUGUGAACCGAGCUGAUGUGGUAAGAAGACGAGCUGCAUUUGCGGGUUAAAGGUCUGACAUAGUGUUCUGGGAACAGGAGUCAGGUCGAAUUUACAUGGCUAGGCCAUUGUGCUGUAUCUUCCUUCCAAGUACAACCCAGCUGCUGUACCUGUAAUUAGUAUCUCGUAUCUCCAGUCCAAGUUUAAACUAACUCCCUGCUGUGGGGUUGCCACAUUCAUGCUAUGUUUUGCAUGUGCAGCAUUAGUUGUGCAUAAUGUUAUUCCUACAGCAGAGAUUCUUAUUUGUUUAGGGUAGAGUCUCCCUAAUCCAUGUAAUAAUGUCACAUUUUCUGUUCAGUAUAAAGUUGGCAUGAUAUAUGGCUUAACUCUUCUCAGGUAACAGAUAACGGCACACAAGGCUUAAUUUGAAGGGAAACCCUUGCUUUAAUUCAAAGUGCGUCAGUGCAACGUUUCAGGGCCACGCCCAUUUCUCAAGCAUCCAGCACCAGGCUGUUCUCUCUAGGGGUGUGCGUCUGCUCUACUCUCUUCCAUUAACUCAUCUCAAGACAAGUUUUAGGACAUAAAUUUGACUCGCCUGGGUCCUCCCGCAACACUGCUCAGAAAUACUUCUUAAGAAGUGACAUGACUACUGAAAGUAUUUGGGGGUUGAGGGGUGGGUGUGAGAUGGACAACACUAGUGAUGCUGCCGAAUGCACAUGCAGUCAUUUAACACUUUGCUUGUAGUUUCUACGUGUCAACUCUUCAGUAGAAUAUGACACAAUAGGACUAGUGACUCACACCAUUCUUCCAUUGGUUCUCACACCAUUCUUCCACUACUACUGUAUUGUCACUAUUUCCACACUUCUCCUAUGGCGGGUGGGGCCCAGAACAUUUUUGUCAUACAGGGGUCUGUGAUUUCUGAUGGCAGCCCUGUGUAAAUGUAAUGUCGUUUUCUUCAGUAAGUAUUUCAUGCUGCAUCAAUUACUCGCUAAGUUCUGUACCUGUAACUUCUCCGUAUUUAUUAUAUUUGUUUGUAUAUAACUAAAUACCCAACUUUCUUUGCACUAUAUUUAUUAAAAAAUUUCAUUUUCCCAUUUUGUUAUGUGAUUAUUUGCUUCAGUUAACUGCAGAAUCCACUAUUUUACACACAUUGCACACUGCUUUAUUUAAAACAAAAACAUAAUUUUUUCUUAUUUAGAUUUUCUGUCCUUUUUAGGUGACAUAAAAUUUGGUUAAACGAUGCACAAUAUUUUCAAAAUCUCUAGAAGACCUCUGUCAUUUUACCUUAUUUCUUGAUAUUUAAUUUUCAAUAAUUGAGGGGUUCUGUGACCAUAUAAAGGCACAAGGCUGCAGGC